rnacentral:rRNA from 1 species
CAGCAGCCGCGGUUAGACUGGGAGUAAAUAUGGAGGGAAAAAGGUUAUUGGUUACGGGAGCAUGUAUUUGCAAGUUUCUUUUUUUGUAGAGUUAAGAGGUGAAAUUUAUAGUUCGAUAGUAAAGUUGAAUCUUGUUGAUUUUCUUGGAGGCCAUUGAAGUUUAGGUUUAAACCAGGAUUAGAUACCCUGUUAUUCUAAACUUAAAGUUUAUUGCUUGAUUAGUAUCAGUUAUGAGCUUGAAAUUUAAAGGAUUUGGCGGUAUCCAAGUCUAGUUAGAGGAACCCGCCAUUUAAACGAUAUGCCACGAAUGAUCUUACUUUGUCUUGUCAAACAGUAUGUAUACCGCCAUUAUUAGGUGGUGUAUUAAUAUAGCCAUUAAAAUUAAUUUAUAUUAAGUAUAUUAGGUCAAGGUGCAGCCCAUGACAAAGAUAUCGGUGGGUUACAGUGUGUUAUACAUAAACGGAUGGACUCUUGAAACGGGGUCUUGAAGGUGGAUUUAAUUGUAUUUCUUUUUUAAUAUGUUAGAUUGAUCGUAGCUCUAGGAUAUGUACACAUCGCCCGUCGCUCUCAUUCUUUAAAGUGAGAUAAGUCGUAACAUAGUAGGUGU